GAUCAUGGCUCAGGAUGAACGCUGGCGGCGUGCCUAACACAUGCAAGUCGAGCGAUCUUCUUCGGAAGAGAGCGGCGGACGGGUGAGUAACGCGUGGGUAACCUGCCCUGUACACACGGAUAACAUACCGAAAGGUAUGCUAAUACGAGAUAAUAUACUUUUAUCGCAUGGUAGAAGUAUCAAAGUUCCGGCGGUACAGGAUGGACCCGCGUCUGAUUAGCUAGUUGGUAAGGUAACGGCUU
rnacentral:rRNA from 1 species